rnacentral:rRNA from 1 species
AGAGUUUGAUCCUGGCUCAGAUUGAACGCUGGCGGCAGGCCUAACACAUGCAAGUCGAGCGGCAGCACGGGUACUUGUACCUGGUGGCGAGCGGCGGACGGGUGAGUAAUGCCUAGGAAUCUGCCUGGUAGUGGGGGAUAACGCUCGGAAACGGACGCUAAUACCGCAUACGUCCUACGGGAGAAAGCAGGGGACCUUCGGGCCUUGCGCUAUCAGAUGAGCCUAGGUCGGAUUAGCUAGUUGGUGAGGUAAUGGCUCACCAAGGCGACGAUCCGUAACUGGUCUGAGAGGAUGAUCAGUCACACUGGAACUGAGACACGGUCCAGACUCCUACGGGAGGCAGCAGUGGGGAAUAUUGGACAAUGGGCGAAAGCCUGAUCCAGCCAUGCCGCGUGUGUGAAGAAGGUCUUCGGAUUGUAAAGCACUUUAAGUUGGGAGGAAGGGCAGUUACCUAAUACGUAUCUGUUUUGACGUUACCGACAGAAUAAGCACCGGCUAACUCUGUGCCAGCAGCCGCGGUAAUACAGAGGGUGCAAGCGUUAAUCGGAAUUACUGGGCGUAAAGCGCGCGUAGGUGGUUUGUUAAGUUGGAUGUGAAAUCCCCGGGCUCAACCUGGGAACUGCAUUCAAAACUGACAAGCUAGAGUAUGGUAGAGGGUGGUGGAAUUUCCUGUGUAGCGGUGAAAUGCGUAGAUAUAGGAAGGAACACCAGUGGCGAAGGCGACCACCUGGACUGAUACUGACACUGAGGUGCGAAAGCGUGGGGGAGCAAACAGGAUUAGAUACCCUGGUAGUCCACGCCGUAAACGAUGUCAACUAGCCGUUGGGAGCCUUGAGCUCUUAGUGGCGCAGCUAACGCAUUAAGUUGACCGCCUGGGGAGUACGGCCGCAAGGUUAAAACUCAAAUGAAUUGACGGGGGCCCGCACAAGCGGUGGAGCAUGUGGUUUAAUUCGAAGCAACGCGAAGAACCUUACCAGGCCUUGACAUCCAAUGAACUUUCCAGAGAUGGAUUGGUGCCUUCGGGAACAUUGAGACAGGUGCUGCAUGGCUGUCGUCAGCUCGUGUCGUGAGAUGUUGGGUUAAGUCCCGUAACGAGCGCAACCCUUGUCCUUAGUUACCAGCACGUAAUGGUGGGCACUCUAAGGAGACUGCCGGUGACAAACCGGAGGAAGGUGGGGAUGACGUCAAGUCAUCAUGGCCCUUACGGCCAGGGCUACACACGUGCUACAAUGGUCGGUACAGAGGGUUGCCAAGCCGCGAGGUGGAGCUAAUCCCAGAAAACCGAUCGUAGUCCGGAUCGCAGUCUGCAACUCGAUUGCGUGAAGUCGGAAUCGCUAGUAAUCGCGAAUCAGAAUGUCGCGGUGAAUACGUUCCCGGGCCUUGUACACACCGCCCGUCACACCAUGGGAGUGGGUUGCACCAGAAGUAGCUAGUCUAACCUUCGGGAGGACGGUUACCACGGUGUGAUUCAUGACUGGGGUGAAGUCGUAACAAGGUAGCCGU